rnacentral:rRNA from 1 species
AUACGGAGGGUGCAAGCGUUACUCGGAAUCACUGGGCGUAAAGGAUGCGUAGGCUGUAAUAUAAGUCAGGAGUGAAAUCCAACGGCUCAACCGUUGAACUGCUCUUGAAACUGUUUUACUAGAAUAUGGGAGAGGUAGAUGGAAUUGGUGGUGUAGGGAUAAAAUCCGUAGAUAUCACCAGGAAUACCGAUUGCGAAGGCGAUCUACUGGAACAUUAUUGACGCUGAGGCAUGAAAGCGUGGGGAGCAAACAGGAUUAGAUACCCUGGUAGUCCACGCCCUAAACGAUGCACACUAGUUGUUGCGAUGCUAGUCAUUGCAGUAAUGCACUUAACAGAUUAAGUGUGCCGCCUGGGGAGUACGGUCGCAAGAUUAAAACUCAAAGGAAUUGGCGGGG